rnacentral:rRNA from 1 species
CCUACGGGUGGCUGCAGUGGGGAAUAUUGGACAAUGGGCGAAAGCCUGAUCCAGCCAUGCCGCGUGUGUGAAGAAGGCCUUCGGGUUGUAAAGCACUUUCAGUGGGGAAGAAAGCCUUGGGGCUAAUACCCUCGAGGAAGGACAUCACCCACAGAAGAAGCACCGGCUAACUCCGUGCCAGCAGCCGCGGUAAUACGGAGGGUGCGAGCGUUAAUCGGAAUUACUGGGCGUAAAGCGCGCGUAGGCGGUCUGAUAAGCCGGUUGUGAAAGCCCCGGGCUCAACCUGGGAACGGCAUCCGGAACUGUCAGGCUAGAGUGCAGGAGAGGAAGGUAGAAUUCCCGGUGUAGCGGUGAAAUGCGUAGAGAUCGGGAGGAAUACCAGUGGCGAAGGCGGCCUUCUGGACUGACACUGACGCUGAGGUGCGAAAGCGUGGGUAGCAAACAGGAUUAGAUACCCCAAUAGUC